GUGGCUCAGUGGUAGAGUGCUUGCCUUGCAUGCAUGAAGCCCUGGGUUCGAUUCCUCAGC
rfam:Dipodomys ordii contig_7935, whole genome shotgun sequence.